UAAUCGGUCUUUUUUAAGACCAACACAACCUGAUUGAAGAAAUAUU
rfam:Echinostoma caproni strain Egypt genome assembly, scaffold: ECPE_scaffold0006042